rnacentral:RNase_P_RNA from 1 species
AGAGUCGGCCAGGCAAUCGCUGUUGGCACUAGAUCAAUAGAGGAAAGUCCGGGCUCCAUAGGGCGAGGUGCCAGAUAACGUCUGGGCGGCGUGAGCCGAUGGAAAGUACCACAGAAAAUAUACCGCCUGUUUCGGCAGGUAAGGGUGAAAUGGUGCGGUAAGAGCGCACCGCGCUGUUAGUAAUAACAGUGGCAGGGUAAACCCCACCGGGAGCAAGACCAAAUAGGGAAACAAUGGUGUGGCCCGCACUGUUUCCGGGUAGGUCGCUUGAGGUGCAUGGUGACAUGCAUCCCAGAUGAAUGAUUGUCCGAGACAGAACCCGGCUUAUCGGCCGACUCUUUUU